rnacentral:rRNA from 1 species
UUCGGGACGCCGGCGAGUGGCGAACGGGUGAGUAACACGUGGAGACCUGCCCUGGGGUGGGGGAUAACAGCUAGAAAUGGCUGCUAAUACCGCAUACGCCUUACGAGGGAAAGAUUUAUUGCCCCAGGAGGGUUCCGCGUCGGAUUAGCUUGUUGGUGGGGUAACGGCCUACCAAGGCGACGAUCCGUAGCUGGUCUUAGAGGAUGAUCAGCCACACUGGGACUGAGACACGGCCCAGACUCCUACGGGAGGCAGCAGUGGGGAAUAUUGCGCAAUGGGGGAAACCCUGACGCAGCGAUGCCGCGUGGGUGAAUAAGGCCUUAGGGUUGUAAAGCCCUUCCAGUGGGAACGAUGAUGACGGUACCCACAGAAGAAGCCCCGGCUAACUCCGUGCCAGCAGCCGCGGUAAUACGGAGGGGGCGAGCGUUGU